rnacentral:rRNA from 1 species
UAGUAAGCAGUUAUUGUCUUGAAACUCAAAGGAAUUGGCGGUAAUUUAGUCUAGUUAGAGGAACCUGUCAUGUAAUCGAUAGUCCACGAAAUAUCUUACUUUAUCUUGUAAAAACAGCUUGUAUACCGUCAUUAUUAGAUAACUUUUAAAAAAUUAGUUAUUGAAAUAGUUUUAAACUAGUAUAUUAGAUCAAGGUGCAGCUUAUGGUAGAGAAGAGAUGGGUUACAAUAAAAUUUUAUAGACGAAUUAAAAGAAGAAUUUCUUUAUAUGAAGGUGGAUUUAAAAGUAAGAUGGUUUUAAAAUGACACUCUGAUUAUAGCUCUAGGUUAUGUAAACAUCUCCCGUCGCUCUCGUUAAUUAAAUAGAGAUAAUUCGUAACAUAGUAGGUGUAUUGGAAAGUGUACCUAGAAAUUUAUAAAGUUUUAUCCUGGCUUGUUCUUUUAUUUUCAGAUUAAUGGGUACAUGUAAGGUCUUUCCGUGCCGAUAUUUAAGCUUAGGUUAGAGAUUAGAUAUAAUUAAGUUUUUAAUAUUAAAAGGUGUUUAUAAAAUAUAAACUCGCAGUACCUAGUGCUAAUUUAAUAUAAAUGGGAGUUUGAAUUGGUAAUUUUGAUAAUUAUACCUGGUUAAAAUUUGUGACAGCAGCCGCGGUUAUACUGAGAGGUAAAAUAAAAGAAGAUCGGUUAAAAAUUCUUAAUCAAUACUUUUAUAUUAGAGAUAUAAGUUUGUACUAAUAAAGGGUGAAAUUAGCUUUUGGUGAGCAAAAGUAUUUCUUUUUAUAAUGAGGUUGAGGUUAUUAAGGUAAAGGUAUGGACCAGGAUUAGAUACCCUGUUACACUUUAUUUAAAAUGUUAUUACCCGGG